CAAAGAACUUGAUAAAAGAAACUUAGGUCUAAACAAUAACCUCUAAAACUAUAUAUAAGCCCUAUAAAACGUCAAGGGACUAAUAAUGCAAAUAGGGAAGUCUUCUGGGGCAAAUUUCCACUUCUGUAAAUUUGAAAGCGUCAUGGACUUUACUGGGCCGAAACUGGUGUCGAUCGACACUCUCUCUGAAUCCGGAAUCCGAAAUCGUCCUUAGAUCCUUUUUCCUUAGCUUUUGCUCCAAAAUGUCUCCUCAUCUCCAUUGUUGUCCCAAUGCAUAAAAUACCUGAAAAGGCACUAAAAAGACUCGAGAAAUAA
rnacentral:sRNA from 1 species